rnacentral:rRNA from 1 species
UAAAGAAAGCGUCAUAGCUCACUGGUCGAGUCGGCCUGCGCGGAAGAUGUAACGGGGCUAAACCAUGCACCGAAGCUGCGGCAGCGACACUGUGUGUUGUUGGGUAGGGGAGCGUUCUGUAAGCCUGUGAAGGUGGCCUGUGAGGGUUGCUGGAGGUAUCAGAAGUGCGAAUGCUGACAUAAGUAACGAUAAAGCGGGUGAAAAGCCCGCUCGCCGGAAGACCAA